rnacentral:tRNA from 1 species
GCCCCUGUAGUCCAAUGGCAGAGACACCCGGCUUAAACCCGGCACAGUGAGGGUUCGACUCCCUCCAGGGGCA